rnacentral:rRNA from 1 species
AUAAGAGGUACAGCCUGCCCAGUGACUUUGUUUAACGGCCGCGGUAUCCUAACCGUGCGAAGGUAGCGUAAUCACUUGUUCUUUAAAUGAGGACUAGUAUGAAUGGCAUCACGAGGGUUAUACUGUCUCCUUUUCCCAAUCAGUGAAACUGAUCUCUCCGUGAAGAAGCGGGGAUAAGUAUAUAAGACGAGAAGACCCUAUGGAGCUUUAAACUAAAUUACAUUUGCCUAACCCACAUAAAUUUCAGAAAAAUAAAAUCUAUCUAAGCAUCAUGAUAAUAAGUUUUAGGUUGGGGUGACCGCGGAGUAAAAUACAUCCUCCGCACUGAACAAGAUUGUUUCUUUAGCUAUAAGCUACAACUUUAAGCAUCAAUAAAUUGACAUUAUUGACCCAAUAUUUUGAUCAACGAACCAAGUUACCCUAGGGAUAACAGCGCAAUCCACUUCAAGAGCUCAUAUCGACAAGUGGGUUUACGACCUCGAUGUUGGAUCAGGGUAUCCCAGUGGUGCAGCCGCUACUAAAGGUUCGUUUGUUCAA